UGGUGGAGUGAUUUGUCUGGUUAAUUCCGUUAACGAACGAGACCUCGACCUGCUAAAUAGUUCGGCGAGCUCUUGGGCUCGUACGCGACUUCUUAGAGGGACUAUCGGUGGUUAGCCGAUGGAAGUUCGAGGCAAUAACA
rnacentral:rRNA from 1 species